AACCAGCCUAAACUGGUCACGCUGGUUUAAACUGAUGCGUUUUGAUACUUUCAGCUGGUCAACCAGUUUGACCAUCAGUUUACUCUACCUGCUUCAUUGGAUUUGACCAGCUUUGGCCAGCUACAGACUAGCUUUGAACAGCUCCAGACUAGCUGUGAUGACUAGAAGUGUCUGUUUCAUAGUUGUGUAAGCAAGGUGAAGUGUGAGUGUGUGUCACAAAGUGCCUUGUUCUGUUUCUUUUCAUUCCAGACAGGUCCUCCCUGUCGUCUGGGGCUGAGAGAAAUCUCUCCUCAGGGACCAGACCGGUCAAGGAGACCAGCUUUCGGGAUGCAGCCACCCAAACAGUGGAGAUUACCACAUCAGAUUGUGCCACGCAGGUGGACGAGACCAUGUUCACCUGCAGUGUGUCCCAGGAUGACGUUUCGCAGGCCUCUGAGCAGUGCCUGGAUUCCCUAUCCUGGCAUUCAGAGUAUGCUGAAGAGGCCCACAAGGUCUGCUUGGCUCUGGAAAUGCACGCACUGGAAAACCCGCCCUUCAGCACAGGGUUCCAGCAUUCCAAAAAGAGGUCCUUCCAAUCGCGCAUACCUGUCCUGGCUCGCACCACCAGCAGCAGAGGGAGAUGUAAGGAUGUCCAAAAGAUGGGAACCAUCACCCAUGACGUACGCUGUCUGAAAAAAGCUUGACUGCUGGAAUUGACAAACACAGUCAAGCAGGUGGCAAGAUAGCAGCGGAUUGUGCAGAUCUUGUUGCAGCGUGCCACAGGCCCUUAGCCAGAACACCACCCCAGCUCAUGACCAUCAUCAGCGCUUUCAACUAGAUGCUGCAGACCUUCUAAUUCCAUCUUCCCUCAGAACCACAUUCCAUCUUCCCUCUAAACCAGCUGCUGAUACUAUCUUCCUUCUAAGCUACCUUCUGAUACUAUCUUCCUUCUAAGCUACCUUCUGAUACUAUCUUCCUUCUAAGCUACCUUCUGACACUAUCUUCCUUCUAAACCACCUUCUGAUACUGCCUUCCUUCUAAGCUACCUUCUGAUUCCAUCUUCCCUCUAAACCAGCUGCUGGUACCAUCUUCCUUAUAAGUCAUGUUCUUACCAUCAACACUGUACCCAUCUCCAUAUCCCCCUUUUCCAUCUCUUCAAUAAAUAACAAAAUAAAAAAUAAUCUAACCAACAUUCAAAUUAGACCUGGUAUUAUCAGCACUUCCAGAUAAUGGAGACCUAAUUUCACAGGUCACUGCCCAUCCUCCCUUUAUGUGG